GAAGGACUUCCGGUGGCUUCCAAGGCGACUCCGUAGUGGAUGCAGCGCCGGACGCCACAGCCGAAAAACAGAAUCUUGGAACUGGUUUAGUACAAUCCAGGUCGAGUUCCUUGUUUUUUAUCCGAGUGGCCGGCAGGCCCAUGUGCUGUCUUGUUUUUAACACAUCAGCUCUUGCCGGAAGCCGCUAAGAGAUAAAAUAGGAAGUCCCACCCUUCCCUUAGAGAAGGAAAACGGAGAGCCGAAGGAGUCAAUCUAAAUUCGAUGAGCGCGUCGGGCUCCAAGGCAGGCGCUGUCAGCCCGGGAGGGCUGUCUGGGAUUUCUAGAGGGUCCCAGAACGGGUUCUUCCCAGGCCGAUCCCGCCUGCUUCCUGCCCCGUCUCUCCACCCGCCUCCCGCCCUCUGUAAGGGACCCCGAGGGCGGCGCCGGAAACACGGAGAAGGCCCAGAACGGCGCGGGACCCGAGAGGCCUACGUUGGCAAACGCAGCCCGCUGCCCCUUUGCUCGCUUCCCCCGGGCCUGGAGUGGCUCCUGUCGCUUCUGGCGCUCCGAUUUCGAGAAAUGACUUUCAGCUGUGCAAGGCGAGAAUGCUACUUUAGAUGAUGAGAAAAAAUCUCUCGAAUGGCUCCCAAAAUGAGGUCCUUGUUUAAGAGGCCACAGGAAGCCGCUAGCCGAACUCUGAUACCAAAGAGGAGGCCAAGAAGCGGACUGUGGCUUGGUGACCUGUUUGGUAUUGCCAAAUUUUCAGCUUUUAUUAAAGCUGAAACACCUUGGCUGUUUAAAACGUUCGACAAGGACUUUUUUAUGAACGUUAACGGCACAGCAUACGGGUUUUUUGGAAAAAAAAAAAGGCAGGACUUCAGCCCGUCCGCCCCCUUGUGCAGGUCCAUUCAUGAACCUCGAGUUAGAGGCCUUUCUUCUGAAACUCAGAAUCUAGUAGGGAAGACCUGUGUAGACGAAUAAAAAUAAAUACAUCACAGCUUGUUAAGUGCUGUGACAAAGAGGCAGUGAAAUCCUGCUUGAGGUCAUCUGCCUUGCUAAAGAGGUUUGACUAUGUUGUAGGCACAGGGUUAGGGUUAGACUCUGUAAUGGGAAGUUAUGUGAUCAGAUUUCUGUUUAGGAAGAUCACUGGCCAGGCGGGGUGGCUUACGCCUGUAAUCCCAAUACUUUGGGAGGCCGAGUCGGUGGAUUGCUUGAGGCUAGGAUUUUGAGACCAGCCUGGGGAAACCGCGUCUCUACUAAAAAUUUGAAAUUAGCCAGGCAUGGUGGUGCGAGCCUGUAAUUCCAGCUACUUGGAGGCUGAGGCGGGAGAAUAGCUUGAACCCAGUGGCGGAGGCUGCAGUGAGCCGAGAUUGCGCCACUGCACUCCAGCCUGGGCGACAGAGCGAGAUUCCGUCUCAAAAAAAUCAUUCCAACGAGUGGAUAAAGAAAAUGUGAUAUAUAUGCACUAUGGAAUACUAAGCCAUAAGAAGGAAUGAAAUAAUGGCAUUUGCAGCAACCUAGAUGGAGUUGGAGACCAUUAUUCUAAGUGAAGUAACUCAAGAAUGGAAAACCAAAUAUUGUAUGUUCUCACUCGUAAGUGGGAGCUAAGCUGCGAAGAUGCAAAGGCAUAAGAAUGAUAUAGUGGACUUUGAGGACUCAAGGGUUGAAGGAUGAGACUACACAUUGGGUACAGUGUGCACUGCUUGGGUGAUGAGUGCACCAAAAUCUCAGAACUCACCACUGAAGAACUUCCCCAUGUAACCAAAAACCACCUGUUCCACAGAAACUAUCGAAAUAACAUUUUUAAAACUUUACUAUUUCUGAAUAAAAUUUACAUACAUUUCUCAGAAAAAAAAAUAUUUGGAAUUGAGGUAUCUAAUAGAGAACUGAGUUAAAUUAUUGCCACUUAAAAACACAAAGUGAUAUAGCCACUUUAUGAAUUAAUCAGUCAGCAGUGGCUAGGUUAUGCUUAGUGGUUUAUAACCAAAUCUUAGUUUAUAACAACAAAUGUGUAUUGUUAAUUCCCACUACAAGUUUAUAACGACAUUGCUGGAUGCUACACUCCAUGUCUCUUUGUGGGACCCAGGCUCAUGGGACUUCUGUUACCUGCAUUAGAGAGAGAGAAGACAACAAAAUAUGCACUGGUUCUUGAAGCUUUGGCCCAGAAGUAAAAUAUGUCUUUUACCUGUUCACAUUGCAUUGGGCCAGGGCAAUUAUCAUGGCUGCAAGUAACUUCAAAAGGAUGGGGAAGUGCGAUCUUGGCAUGUGUCAGAAGAAAUGAAAACAUUUGGUGAAGAGCAUUAAUGACUGUCUUUACAGGAAAAAAGCAAUCAAAUAGACAUGAUUGCUUGUUUCAGUUUCAUCAUUUCCUACUGUGUUACCUAAACUUUCUGAGCCCCAGUUUCUUAUUACUAAAAUAAAAUAAAGAUGAUAUUCACUUCAAGGACUUUGUGUUAACUAGGGUAAAAAAAUUGAAAACUAGUAAGUUAUGCAAAUUAGAAAUGUAUAAUAUUACUGCUUUGAAAGUGAUGGUGAAAUGUAGAAUAAUUGGAAGGAUAACACAAAGCACUUAUACCAGGAGGCUUUUAGCUGCAGAUAAUAGAAAUGAACCUCCACUACUUUAAUCAAUAAAAAAGUGUAUCAGCUCACAAAUUUGUCAUCCAGACAUAAAGGAGGCUUCAGAAUUUAUUGACUCAGGAGUUGAAUGUUGGUAUCAAGGACCUAGAUUUUUCUCAUCACUCUGCACUUCAAUUCUCAAUGCCCUAUUGAACAUCAGGCUGUAGUAAGAUGGCUAGAGUGAUUCCAGGGAUAACAUCUAGAGAUAAAAAAGAGAACUCCUUUUCUUAUGAUUUUUUUCUUAAGAGAAAAGGAAUUUCCCAAAAGCCCCCAGCAAGCAUGCCUUCACAUCCCAUGGCCAGAAGUGGCUCACAUGUGUACCCUGAGCUAAGCACUGCAGACAGGAAUGGAAUCGCCUGUAGGCCUCAGAGACCACCUGGAUCUUGGGAAGGUGUCAGCUCUACCUGUGGCACUUGGCUGAGUGGGAAAGGGAUGGAAACAUGAAUAAAGUAAGAAUUAGGAAGGAAAAGGAGAAAUGGAUCCAGGGUAUGAAGCCAAUAGUUUAGUUAUCUCAACAAAUAUGAUUGAUUUCAUCUUUAUGAAUGUGAUGACCUAAUUUAAUACAUUCAAUCAAUGAAGUAAAAAAAAGUGCAAGGACAAUAUGACAUCUGUCAUUCUCUGUUGAGAUUUGAGAGGUAAUAAUACCAAGAACGUGUGGUGACCUGGGUCCUCACUGCUACUGUCUUCCUGUACCUGGACACUUCUAGCAAGAGACUUCAACUUCAGAACAAAGAGGAUCCCAACUUGUAGCUGCAUUAUACACACCCCAGCAGCACACAUAAGUUGAUUUCUAAUUAUUCCUCUUUAAGAAAUUGUUUGUGGAAUAUUUAUCUAUUUAUAAAUGGAAAAAUAGAAAAUUAAAAUAACAAAAAUAAGUAA